GUCUAUGGCCAUACCACCCUGAACACGCCUGAUCUCGUCUGAUCUCAGAAGAAGGAGGGGGAGAAGGCCACAAGGAGAGGGUGAGUCAUUCAGGUACCAUGGCCC
rnacentral:rRNA from 1 species